AUUGAGCGCUGGCGGCAUGCCUUACACAUGCAAGUCGAACGGUAACAGGUCUUCGGAUGCUGACGAGUGGCGAACGGGUGAGUAAUACAUCGGAACGUGCCCAGUAGUGGGGGAUAACUACUCGAAAGAGUGGCUAAUACCGCAUGAGAUCUACGGAUGAAAGCAGGGGAUCGCAAGACCCUGUGCUACUAGAGCGGCCGAUGGCAGAUUAGGUAGUUGGUGGGAUAAAGGCUUACCAAGCCGACGAUCUGUAGCUGGUCUGAGAGGACGAUCAGACACACUGGGACAGAGACACGGCCCAGACUCCUACGGGAGGCAGCAGUGGGGAAUUUUGGACAAUGGGCGAAAGCCUGAUCCAGCAAUGCCGCGUGCAGGACGAAGGCCUUCGGGUUGUAAACUGCUUUUGUACGGAACGAAAAGCCCCGGGUUAAUACCCUGGGGUCAUGACGGUACCGUAAGAAUAAGCACCGGCUAACUACGUGCCAGCCGCCGCGGUAA
rnacentral:rRNA from 1 species